CAGCAGCCACGGUAAUACGUAGGGUGCAAGCGUUAAUCGGAAUUACUGGGCGUAAAGCGUGCGCAGGCGGUUUGUUAAGACAGAUGUGAAAUCCCCGGGCUUAACCUGGGAACUGCAUUUGUGACUGGCAAGCUAGAGUCUGGCAGAGGGGGGUGGAAUUCCGCGUGUAGCAGUGAAAUGCGUAGAUAUGCUGAGGAACACCGAUGGCGAAGGCAGCCCCCUGGGCCAACACUGACGCUCAUGCACGAAAGCGUGGGGAGCAAACAGGAUUAGAUACCCCCGUAGUCCCUGUCUCUUAUAC
rnacentral:rRNA from 1 species